rnacentral:lncRNA from 1 species
AUGAACCGUGAACUUCCUGAUGUUCAAGCUGGUUUUAGAAAAGGCAGAGGAACCAGGGAUCAAAUUGCCAACAUCUACUGGAUCAUGGAAAAAGCAAGAGAGUUCCAAAAAAACAUCUAUUUCUGCUUUAUUGACUAUGCCAAAGCCUUUGACUGUGUGGAUCACAAUCAACUGUGGAAAAUUCUGAGAGAGAUGGGAAUACCAGACCACCUGACCUGCCUCUUGAGAAACCUAUAUGCAGAUCAGGAAGCAAUAGUUAGAACUGGACAUGGAACAACAGACUGGUUCCAAAUAGGAAAAGGAGUAUGUCAAGGCUGUAUAUUGUCACCCUGCUUAUUUAACUUAUAUGCAGAGUAUAUCAUGAGAAAUGCUGGGUUGGAAGAAGCACAAGCUGGAAUCAAGAUUGCCGGGAGAAAUAUCAAUAACCUCAGAUAUGCAGAUGACACCACCCUAAUGGCAGAAAGUGAAGAGGAACUAAAAAGCCUCUUGAUGAAAGUGAAAGAGGAGAGUGAAAAAGUUGGCUUAAAGCUCAACAUUCAGAAGACAAAGAUCAUGGCAUCUGUUCCCAUCACUUCAUGGGAAAUAGAUGGGGAAACAGUGGAAACAGUGUCAGACUUUAUUUUGGGGGGCUCCAAAAUCACUGCAGAUGGUGACUGCAGCCAUGAAAUUACAAGACACUUACUCCUUGGAAGGAAAGUUAUGACCAACAAAGAUAGCAUAUUGAAAAGCAAAGACAUUACUUUGCCAACAAAGGUCCGUCUAGUCAAGGCUAUGGUUUUUCCUACUGUCAUGUAUGGAUGUGAGAGUUGGACUGUGAAGAAGGCUGAGCGCCAAAGAAUUGAUUAUUUUGAACUGUGGUGUUGGAGAAGACUCUUGAGAGUCCCUUGGACUGCAAGGAGAUCCAACCAGUCCAUUCUGAAGGAGAUCAGCCCUGGGAUUUCUUUGGAAGGAAUGAUGCUAAAGCUGAAACUCCAGUACUCUGGCCACCUCAUGCUAAGAGUUGACUCAUUGGAAAAGACUCUGAUGCUGGGAGGGAUUGGGAGCAGGAGGAGAAGGGGACAACCGAGGAUGAGAUUGCUGGCUGGCAUCACUGACUCAAUGGGUGUGAGUUUGAGUGAACUCUGGGAGUUGGUGAUGGACAGGGAGGCCUGGCGUGCUGCGAUUCAUGGGGUCGCAAAGGUCAGACACGACUGA